AGACACGCAGAGAGAGAGAGAGCUCCCGAGAGCAGCAUCAAACCUGACCUCCCCCCCCCCCCCCCCCUCUUUUCCACCCUCACACACAGUGGACACUACCAACAGUGUUGUGUUGUGAAAGCAGAGAUCAGACAGAAAACAGUGCAUGCCGUGCAUUUUCCUCUCAACCCAACCCCUGAGAAAGUUGUUCAUGUGCUGAAGAUAAUCCAACGUAAUUAUCAGGUCAAGCACAACGAGCUGUUUGAGGACCUAAACCUGGUCUCUCUGGUCUCUGGGGAGAUUGUAAAUAUGAAAGGAUGAAGCCGAGGAUGGGAUUAAAAACAUUACUGGUGGUUGGUGUGCUGUUGGAGCAGUAGUUAGUGCGCUCGCCCCAUGCAUGGAGGCUAUGAUCCUACAAGCGGGCGGCACGGGUUCGAAUCCAGCCUGUGGCUCCUUUCCCGCAUAAUCUCAAUCUGGACUAAAGGAAACAUAAUGCAGCAGGUUCAUUAGAGCACAGAGGUCGUAGAGGUCACUGUGGUCGUGCACCAAUCACAGGGAAUAAACGUCACCACCCCCUCCCCGCUGAGAAGGAAAGGUCACAGAGAGCUUGAGCUUCACCUGACUGCAGCAUGCCCUCUUAGACCCAGACCACAAUCCAACAGGUGAAAUGUUAAACCAAAGGCUGAGAGUGAAAGCGUCUCAAUUCUUCUUAUUUGUUGUCGAGAUGAAGAUCACAAUCAGCUGCUGCGUCAUGAGUGUGUUUGUGUUUGUGAAUAUUGUGAUGUUGACUCGACGAUGUCUGAAGAAGAUCUGUGAGAUUGAAGCGUUUUUUUUUUAAAUGUAGCUUUAUUCACUAUAUGCCUUAUUUCAACAGGUAUGUUUGUAACUGAUGUUCAACAAUGUGUGCAGGGCAUUUACUCCAAAUUAUAUGUUUUUGCAGAUCAUAUGACAUUACAACCCCAGAGUUCAGUGGUUUACCUUAAAAAAGGUUCACUUUGAGUCAGAAGGAAAUAAGAGUCCUCGCUCUGUUAAGCUAACGGACUGUGACAGUGUUACUGAGCCAAACUAAAUAAGUGAAGCACCACCAGUGUUGUGCAAACACGACACCAACACCGGGGGGGGGGGGCUACCUACAUGCUGGAGAGAGUCUCAUAAGACGUGUAAACAUCAUCACAAAAAGUAAGCAAAUUUGUGUUUGGUAGAUUUUUUGUAUUGUAACGAUGCUUCUUGGCACUAAAUUGUAGACCGUUGGAAAUCCGGUUUUAUUUCCCACAUUUGCAAGGAGCAUGCAUUUGUGGGAUGAGCAGCAGAGCUUGCCAAAUAUUCUCUGCCAAUGCCAAACAGCUCAUCCUGCUGUUGACUCUUCUUCUUCAGACUUCAAUCAUCCAAUCCUCUAAACGACACCAAACGAGAGUCAACAGCAGAAUGAGCUGUUUGGCAUUGGCAGAGAAUAUUUGGCAAGUUUUCCAUGGGCGCAACCCACAUACUCAGCUCUGCUGCUCAUCCCACAAAUGCAUGUUCCUUACAAAUCUGGCACCAUUUAAAAA